CGGACGGGUGAGUAAUGUCUGGGAAACUGCCUGAUGGAGGGGGAUAACUACUGGAAACGGUAGCUAAUACCGCAUAACGUCGCAAGACAAAGAGGGGGACCUUGGGCCUCUUGCCAUCGGAUGUGCCCAGAUGGGAUUAGCUAGUAGGUGGGGUAAAGGCUCACCUAGGCGACGAUCCCUAGCUGGUCUGAGAGGAUGACCAGCCACACUGGAACUGAGACACGGUCCAG
rnacentral:rRNA from 1 species